AAGGUAAGAAAGAAACCAGAAAGGCUAUUCAGUGAAAAGAAAAACUAUUCAGAUCAAGAAGAGGAACACAGAGAGAGAGAGAGGGAGAGAGAGGCUUGAGUUUUGAGAGAUGGGGUGGGGGUGGGCGAUCUACGAGAGCGUCGUCGUAUUGGGGUCGCUGUGCCUGCUGGGAUGGACGGGGCUGUGGUUCCUGAACCGCAGGCUCUACAAGGAGUACGAAGAGAAGCGAGUCUUGGUUCAGAUCAUCUUCAGCGUCGUCUUCGCCUUCUCCUGCAACCUCUUCCAGCUCGUCCUCUUUGAGAUCAUCCCCAUCCUCUCCAAAGAGGCGAGAUGGAUGAACUGGAAGCUGGAUUUGUUUUGUUUGAUACUGUUGCUGGUCUUCAUGCUCCCUUACUAUCAUUGUUUCUUGAUGCUUUGCAACAGCGGUGUAAGGAUGGAACGAGCUGCACUUGGAGCUAUCUUGUUCUUGCUGGCAUUUCUGUAUGCUUUUUGGCGCAUGGGCAUUCACUUUCCUAUGCCAUCACCUGAUAAAGGUUUCUUCACUAUGCCUCAGUUGGUCAGUAGAAUUGGUGUCAUUGGUGUUACUGUCAUGGCUGUCUUAUCUGGUUUUGGGGCCGUAAAUUUGCCAUACAGUUACUUAUCACUCUUCAUCAGAGAGAUUGAGGAGACAGAGAUCAAGGGCUUGGAGAGACAACUAAUGCAAUCAAUUGAGACUUGCAUAGCAAAGAAAAAGAAAAUUAUUCUUUGUCAAAUGGAGAUGGAGCGCAUUCAAGGAUCAGAGGAGAUAAAGGCUAGAUCCUUCUUUAACCGAAUUGUUGGCACAGUUGUACGAUCUAUGCAGGAUGACCAAAGGCAGCAAGACAUCACAAGCAUGGAAGCGGAGGUACAAGCCUUAGAAGAGCUCUCAAAGCAGCUAUUUUUGGAAAUCUAUGAGCUACGGCAAGCUAAGGAGGCUGUUGCGUAUUCUCGAACCUGGAGGGGUCACAUGCAGAAUCUUCUUGGCUAUGCAUGUUCUGUCUAUUGUGUGUACAAAAUGCUUAAGUCUUUGCAAAGUGUUGUUUUCAAGGAGGCUGGUUCAGUUGAUCCUGUGACUAUGACAAUAAGCAUAUUCUUGCAGUUCUUUGAUAUAGGAAUUGAUGCUGCGUUAUUGUCGCAGUAUAUUUCCUUGUUGUUCAUCGGAGUGUUAAUUGUUAUAUCAGUUCGGGGAUUCCUAACAAACCUAAUGAAGUUCUUUUUUGCAGUUUCCAGAGUUGGGAGUGGAUCUUCGAGCAAUGUUGUACUUUUUCUGUCUGAAAUUAUGGGAAUGUAUUUCGUGUCCUCUAUUCUUUUGAUAAGGAAAAGCUUAGCGACUGAAUAUAGGAUAAUCAUAACAGAUGUACUGGGGGGAGAUAUUCAGUUUGACUUUUAUCACCGUUGGUUUGAUGCGAUAUUUGUGGCCAGUGCUUUCCUUUCUCUGCUUCUGCUCUCUGCACAUUAUACAUCUCGCCAAGUGGACAAACAUCCUAUAGAUUAAUGUAAUUUUACUAACAGGAAGGAAGCUUACUUGUACAAUGUAAAUGGUUCAGGGCCAAAGGAAGGUACAAUAUUCAGGUAAAAAGCUGUUCAGUAAUGCUGAGAAAAGUGUUUAAACUCCUCAAGACAAAAGAUUUCUUUCUGUGAGGCGAUGAUUCAUGGUGAAUGGCAAUACAGUGAAGCUAAGUCCAAGAAUGCGAACCUCGAUUAUUCUUGUGUGUAUAAUUUUUUUUUUUUUUUUUUUUUUUUUGGGUAUGCUGGAUAGCAGUAUCCAACUUGCUAUGAUGAAAUGAUACCUGAUUUUGUUAAUUCAUUCAUUUCCAAAUUGCUAUUCUUUCAACU